GGGGCUAUAGCCCAGGGGUAGAGCAUGUGCUUGGUGUGCAUGAGGUCUGGGGUUCGAUCCCCAGUGCCUCUG
rnacentral:tRNA from 1 species